rnacentral:rRNA from 1 species
UACGUAGGGCGCAAGCGUUGUCCGGAAUUAUUGGGCGUAAAGCGCUCGUAGGCGGCUUGUCACGUCGGAUGUGAAAGCCCGGGGCUUAACUCCGGGUCUGCAUUCGAUACGGGCUGGCUAGAGUGUGGUAGGGGAGAUCGGAAUUCCUGGUGUAGCGGUGAAAUGCGCAGAUAUCAGGAGGAACACCGGUGGCGAAGGCGGAUCUCUGGGCCAUUACUGACGCUGAGGAGCGAAAGCGUGGGGAGCGAACAGG